rnacentral:rRNA from 1 species
UACGUAGGGACCGAGCGUUGUCCGGAAUCAUUGGGCGUAAAGAGCGUGUAGGCGGCCACUUAAGUCCUGCGUGAAAUCUUGCGGCUCAACCGCAAGCGGUCGUGGGAAACUGGGUGGCUAGAGUGCGGGAGAGGAGAGUGGAAUUCCUGGUGUAGCGGUGGAAUGCGCAGAUAUCAGGAGGAACACCGGUGGCGAAGGCGGCGAUCUGGGUAGAUACUGACGCUGAGGUGCGAAAGCGUGGGGAGCAAACAGG